CUCUCUAGCUGCUGUCUUGAGAACAGACUCGAUGGUGAGGAGGACGGAAGCGAAGAGCCCAAUGGGGGGCUAUUGCCUCAUUCACAGCGGAAAUGAGGCGGCUCAGACCAGCGCAGUAGCAGCGGAGGGGUUUCUAUUGUUCCUGGAAUUAUCCAAAUAUAAGCCAGGAUUGAUCUGAAAUCCCAAAUGUGCUCAAUUAGUAAAGGCUGUCUGGAGCAGUGUUGAGAAGAAUAGAGAAGCUGGUCAGGUUCAACAACAAGAACUGUAAUUGCCCUGUAAGCUCCUGCACAGCCUCAUGCAGAGGAAAAUUACCCACUAAUGGAUAUCUCCA